UAGAUCAGAUCCCACCCAUGUCAUCCUAGCUGUCCAAAGCUUCUCCCUAAAGAGAUACAGCCCCUCUUUCGUCCACCUCUCUUUUCUUCUUCCUUCUUGGAUCCUUGACAACUCAACACUCAUCUAAACUUGCUGCCCAAGGAGUUGAAUCUCAGCCUUUGAUCUUUCUUGCUCCCCAAGCUGAAUUCCAGCCAUCAGAUGAGAUCAAAAGGAGGCCGUCCAAUUCGGUAUAAAAGGAGGUAAGCACCCCCUCUUUUCACGCCAACUUCUCCUUCUUAAUUCUCUCGGCUUUCUCUGUUUUUGCAGCAAUGAACCAGCAGCACUUCUCUUCUUUUCUGCACAAAAACAGCAAGUAAAACUCUCUGUUUUCUCUCCCAAAACAGCAGCUCUUUCACGGACAGCAACUCCUCUAUUCCUUUUCUGGUUUUGUCUCAUGUAUAGUAGCAAGUGAAGACCCUUUCCCUCUGUUCUUUGUUGCUGUUUUCUGCAGAAUUCUCUCUUUUAUUCCUCAGUUUGCAGAAAAAUCAGAACCCUCUCAUUUUACUUUAUUUCACGUCCAGCAAAGCAGCAAACUCUCUCUAUUAUUUUUAAUCCAGCUCUCUUCUCUGUUUCCACUUGGUCCAGCAGCAAGCAAGUUUCCCCUUGACACCGUGAUGACACUGUAGACCGGGAGUCUUUUCUUUAUGGAUGGCAUAGACCCCACCCUAAGAGCAAUAGAUCGAUAAAGACCGGUCUAACUUUUGUAUUGUACAUAUUUAUUUUGAAAUCCUAGAAAUGAGAUGUAAUAACUCAAGAACUACUAUGUAUAUGUUCUUAUAAUGAAAUAUAGCUAUGCGCUAUUCCUGGGAAAA